rnacentral:rRNA from 1 species
AUUGAACGCUGGCGGCAGGCCUAACACAUGCAAGUCGAGCGAGCGGCGGACGGGUGAGUAAUGUAUGGGGACUGCCCGAUAGAGGGGGAUAACUACUGGAAACGGUGGCUAAUACCGCAUACUAUCGGAUAACCCAUAUGGGAUUAGCUAGUAGGUGGGGAAAAGGCGCACCUAGGAGACGAUCUCUAGCUGGUCUGAGAGGAUGAUCAGCCACACUGGGACGGAGACACGGCCCAGACGCCUACGGAGGCAGCCGUGGGGAAUAUUGCACAAUGGGCGCAAGCCUGAUACAGCCAUGCCGCGUGUAUGAAGAAGGCCUUAUGUUUGUAAAGUACUGUCAGCGGGUAGGCGUUACCCGCAGAAGAAGCGCCGGCUAACUCCGUGCCAGCCGCCGCGGUAAUUC